rnacentral:rRNA from 1 species
GACGAACGCUGGCGGCGCGCCUAACACAUGCAAGUCGAGCGAGAACCGGAGCUUCGGCUUCGGGGACAGCGGCGAACGGGUGAGUAACACGUGGAUAACCUGCCCUCGGCACCGGAAUAGCCCGGGGAAACCCGGAUUAAUGCCGGAUGGCCCCACAUCCCUGCGGGGAACGUGGGAAAAGGUAGCUUCGGCCUCUGGCCGAGGAUGGGUCCGCGGUGGAUUAGCUUGUUGGUGGGGUAAUGGCCCACCAAGGCGACGAUCCAUAGCUGGUCUGAGAGGACGAUCAGCCACACUGGGACUGAGACACGGCCCAGACUCCUACGGGAGGCAGCAGUGGGGAAUCUUGCGCAAUGGGCGAAAGCCUGACGCAGCGACGCCGCGUGCGGGAAGAAGGCCCUAGGGUUGUAAACCGCUUUCAGGAGGGACGAAGCCACUCGGGUGAACAGCCCAGAGGGUGACGGUACCUCCAGAAGAAGCCCCGGCUAACUACGUGCCAGCCGCCGCUGUAAGAC